ensembl:lncRNA GOLGA2P5 GOLGA2 pseudogene 5
UUGGUAAUUCUUCUACUCCAUUUGAAGAUGAAAAAUAAAGGCCAAAAUCAUAGGCCUGGCACAGAAGCUGGAUAAUGAAGACAGCUCCGGAGGAACACAUAGAUACACACACAUAUAGACACACACAUAUAUAAAGUACACAGACAUAUUAUUUUUAAAGUUUAUUUUUUAAAGUUUUAAAGUUUCUAAAAUGAAAGCUGGCCCUGCCUCUCUCCCAGAGUGAGCGGAGACAGCGGUUGCAUGAGCAGCUUUCCUUGUGAGGCCACAGGUCCCUCUGGACACGCUGCUGCCUGACCAUGCCUCCUUUCCCUUUCAGCUUUCUCAUAGACCAAUGGGCUUGGAGCAUUAAGGCCAUACCCCUAUUAUGCAUUCUAGUGCGACCUUGUUUACACCUCCCCUGGCUCAGUCACACAGCUGUGUGGUAGGCUACUAGAAGUGUUUAGUAGUUGUCACUGGGAUCAUGCUGAUGUGGCCCCAUCCCCGCCUCUCCCUGCCCUGUGAUAUCGGAGGAAACCUGACAGAGCAAAUUGGCCAUGGCCAAGAAAAAGGAAAAGAAAGAGUGCCACCAAAAGCAGGGAGCCCUAAGGGAGCAGUUACAGGUCCUCUUUGGAUUCCAGCACGACGCAUCAAACCAUACCAUGACGUGACUAGGACCCAACCUAGAAAUGAAGGAACUGACCCUACAGGACUCACAACCCUGGAUAAUGCAGUGUCCUCGGACGGCAACAAGCUCUGGACAUUACCUGGGGGAUGCUGAAGGCGGCAACUGAGGAGGCUGAAUGAAUCCUGCUCCAGACACAGACACCAUUCACUCCAGAUAAUUUGUUGCUUGCUAUGCUCUCUGUUGUACAUUGCAACUCGCAUAGGGAUGCAAAGCCGGAAUAAGAGCAAUGACCACCAUGCCUGACAGACCUGUUGCUGCGCACACCUGUACUCUCCAAUGAACAAGACUGAAUGCAAAAAAAACAGAAAAUGGGGAGAUUUAGGGGAUCAGUCAGUGUGGUUGGAAAAUUGUAAGAUGAAGUUACAGGAUAUAGACACAAACCUUCUUGGAAGGCCAGAAGGUUUGCAUAGCUUCAGUAAAGGAUUUGGCUGAAAUCCUUUUUACCUCUAAUCCCCUUUACCUUGAGUUGAUAGCAAUAGAGCAAAUAACAUGGGAAUGUGGGGGAGUUUAUCUGAAUAGCUUGUUUACUCAUGUGGUCCUAAGACCAACCUUUGAUUAUCCGCAGGUGCAUGAUUGCUCUCUACCUGGGGGCAGGGGGAGUUAAUUACCCACAGGUGGAGCUGAAGAGCCAGGAGGCUCAGAGUCUGCAGCAGCAGCAGGACCAGUACCUGGGUCAUCUGCAGCAGUAUGUGGCCACCUAUCAGCAGCAGGUGGUCACCUAUCAGCAGCUGACCUCUGAGGAGGAGGAGCUGCACAACCAGUUACUGCUGCAGACCCAGCUCGUGGACCGGCUGCAGCAGCAGAAAGCUCAAAGCAAAGCUGUGGCCAAGAUGGGCUGCCAAGAGUUGCGGGAGACCCAGGAGCACCUGGAAGCUAUCAGCCAGCAGAACCAGCAGCCUCAGGCCCAGUUGAGCCUCAUGGCUCUCCCUGGGGAAGGAGAUGGACAGUGAGGAGGAGGAGGAGGUGCCUCAGCCCAUGCCAAGCAUCCCGGAGGAUCUAGAGAGCCAGAAGGCCAUGGUGGCAUUUUUCAACUCAGCUGUAGCUAGUGCCGAGGAGGAGCAGGCACGGCUAUGUGGGCAGCUGAAGGAGUGCACUGCCAGCGCCUGGCUCAUCUGUUGGCCUCGGCCCAGAAGGAACCUGAGGCAGCAGCCCCAGCCCCAAGAACUGGGGGUGAUCCCAUGUGUGGGGAGACCCACCAGGCCCUGCAGGGGGCCAUGGAGAAGCUGUGGGAGAGUACAUCGCACUGUACCAGAGCCAGAGGGCAGUGCGGAAGGAGGAGGAGUGCAUCAGCAGGCUGGCCCAGGACAAGGGAGAGGUGAAGGUGAAGCUGCUGGAGCUGGCGUGGCUUGUGGACGACUGCAACAAGUGGCAUAGCAGAUUCCUGGCAGCUGCCCAGAACCCUGCUGAUGAGCCCACUCCAGGGGCCCCCGCCCCCCAGUAGCUUGGGGCUACUGACAAGCCAGGGUAGUGAGUAGAGUCCUCAGGCACAGUGGGCACGCAGGAGCAGGGGAGGGCUCCCACAGCACCCUGCCUCCCUCUCUCCAAAGAUCUUUGUGAGGUGAGCCUUGCCAGCAGUGGGGAGUCUGCACAAGGAGAGGCGGGGAAGCAUUCUCCCUGUGACAACCCCACUGAGCAGCAGAUCAUGCAACUGCUUCAUGAGAUGCAGAACCUCCAGGAGCACCCAGGCUUGGGCAGCAGCCCUUGCAUUCCUUUUUUGUACCAGACUGAUGAGAACAAUGAGGUGAAGAUCACCAUCAUCUAAAAGCCGGCCACUGUCAGCAAAACCUGGGGAAGUGGGGCUGGAGGCUCUGCCCCUACCAUGUCCCUACCACCCCUUCCCAGUCAACCCUUUACCCUCACAGUAGCAAGCAUAAGACCCCUGUCUAAUGUGGGGAGACAGGUGGAGAUGAGGUGAAGAUCACCAUAAUCUAAAAGGCCACUAAAUAAAAAAAUAAAAAAUUUUAAAAA